UCCACGAUGCAUUACCAUCAUCCUAGCAUUUUAUAACGAUGACAUGAAAAUAAAUUAGAGUAGUGACAUGGCAUCAUCAGUAACAACAUUCUAAUUAUCAUGGCAAGAAGUAGCAUGAAAACACAAGCAUGCAUGACAGGCAUAACGGAAUAACUGCAGAUGAAAACGAGAAGAAAUAGCUGCAACUACACACACACAAGGUGCAAGCAAAGUCAACAUGCAAUUUCGGGGCUUAAGAGGUUGGCUUGCCUGGGGGUCGACAAAUACUCCGGGAAGAAGUGAGAAACGACCACGGAAAAAUUAUCCGGAAACAGUUCUCUCUCGGAGGGGGCUCAAUCGGAGUUACGGUUGUCGAGAUACGAAGGGUUGAAGUUCAGGGAGCUAUCGGUGAUAUUUUUUCAGCAAACAGGCCCCUAGAGGAAAAACUGAAUGCGCAUUUUCUGAAAUACGUCUUCAGUCAGGGAAAAUGGCUUGCGGUGGGGCGCUUCCACUUGAAUGACGUGGCGACGACCGGGUCAAAGGGCAGAGGCGGGGCCAGGCUCCAUUUCUGCUGAUAGGUGGGGCCGCGGGGCCCGCCUGACCAGCCUGGCUAGGUCAAUGCGCCAUACGGCCGCUCCCUUUCUUCUCCCCGACGCGCGCCCACGGGCAGAGAACGGCCGUGCUCCGGCGACGAACCCCGGCGACACGGGUCACCUCCGGCGAGGCUCCGGCCACCAGAGUGCUCAUCACAUAGUGGCGCAUCUGUUCCCCCACUCCAUGGACUCCAAAAACAAAGGGAGCAACGACGUCCUUGAGAAUGGUGGACGACGGCGAAGGGCUUCGGUCGUCAGCGAACUAGGGGCUCCGGNNNNNNNNNNNNNNNNNNNNNNNNNNNNNNNNNNNNNNNNNNNNNNNNNNNNNNNNNNNNNNNNNNNNNNNNNNNNNNNNNNNNNNNNNNNNNNNNNNNNNNNNNNNNNNNNNNNNNNNNNNNNNNNNNNNNNNNNNNNNNNNNNNNNNNNNNNNNNNNNNNNNNNNNNNNNNNNNNNNNNNNNNNNNNNNNNNNNNNNNNNNNNNNNNAAGGCACUGGUGGAGGAGGGACGGUGAGGGGAGCGGGGUAGCGCUGGAAUCGAGCAGCGCCCGAGGCGGUGACCAUGGCGAUGGGAAGAGGAUGGGGAGCUCCUGGAGCUCAGUUGACUUGCUAGGGAGGUCUCUGGGAGGUAGGGGGAGCUGCUGGAGUGCUCGGACGAGGCGCGGACGGGCUAUUUAUAGCCGGGGCAGGGGCACCCGAGCCGGGCACCGCCGAGCGUGUCCAGCCAUGGCUCUACUGUGCUUAGCAGUCACGGGGAGGAGGGGGAAGACGACGAGGGGAGGAAGCGGACGAGCACCAGAGGCUCACAGAAUCGAGCAACGCUCGCGGACGAGAGGAGGAAGCGGACAGAGGCGAGGAACAAGACGAUGGCCAUGGGAGCACACUGUUCGAUUUUUGGAACGGCUCGUCAGAGAAGAAAACGGAGGGGGAGCGGGGUCCAGGCGAAUGGUGACGACGAGGGGGAGCUGUAGGACAUUAAUGGCGAGGUCAGGGAUGAUCAGAGCAGCGCUGCCGACGAGAACAGUGGCUAGAGCACCGUUUUGGCUGGCUUCCCUCGUGGUCACCACUGUCAUGGCGCGCUCUGGAGGUUUUAAUGAGGUUAAAUCAUGUCUACUGCGUAGUCCUUCCAGAGUGGAGUAUUACCACGGUAAAGAAACAGGCAGAGACAAAGGUAGAUGAGUAAAGCAAGCUCCACAAGUUUGCUGUUGCAAACUUGGCAACAUCCUAGAGGUAAAACCAGAGAGGGUAAAUGGUAGAAUUGAUGUCUAGGAGCUUUAGGGUAGCAAGGACUACGGUCCUGGGGGUUUUGAGGUCAUUUGGACAAAUAUUUAGCAUAGUUGCUUAACAACUGCUAAAAUAUGUCCAGAAACCAAAUGAUGGUGAAGCAAUCAUGAUUGAGCUAUAACUUCGCAAAUCCUCAUGAUUUGGUGAUAGGUAGCUGCUAUAAAAAGAUCAGCCCAAAUGGAGUUGCCAAAUUGGUACUUUCUUCACAAGCAUUACUUUGGACCAGAAACUUGAGAAAAUCCUAGGAAACUAUUGGAUAAAUUAAAUUAGCCAAACUCUUGGGUAGGUGGGUUAUAUGGAUAGGAGAAGGCUCGGAAUUAUUUUCAGACAUAAUGGAGCAAUAUAAAAUAUACUUGCUUCACAAACUGAAAAUUUGGACAGAAAACAAGAAUUGCUCCUGUGCUCACAUAGCUCAACGAAAUGAGCUGAAUUUUGGUAAAGGCUAAUUAUUUGGGAUACUAUAGAGGAUGGCAAAGUUUCAUCCCAUUUGGAAACUCUAUGAAGGUACUUCCUUCACAAAGUGACAAUCUGGUCAGAAACUUUGAAAAAUUGCACAGGGAGCUAGGAUGAUUAGAUUGAGCUCAUCUUUGGUAUCCAUGGGUUAUUUAUCAAUAUUAAACCCCCUGGAAAAUUGUAGCUCAAAUGGAAUUAAGAAUAAAGCGCUUCCUUUGCAAAAUUUCAGAGAAGGCAGAAACUUGCAUUGGAUCAUGUGCCCAAUUUUUGAACUGUGGAACAUGAGCUGAAGAUCGAACUAGUUAUUAUAUAGCAAGGACAAGCUCCACAAUUUAUGUGGGAAUUUUAUCUGUUAUAAAAAUAGCAGUUCCUUUAGAAAAUGGCAGAAAUGCAAUAUUGGUAUUAAAUAGGAAAAGAAAAUUUUCCUUAUUUAAUUAUGGCCAAUAUAAUUGACAGAGCUUGGAUUAGGCAUAAUUAUCAACUCCACCAAUUCACAUGAAUUUAGGAGAUGGCUAGAUAUGCCUUUGGAUUUUAUUCCUCGGAAAGGCAAGAAAAGGAAUAAAUCAUGAUUCAAAAAUAUUGCAAUGGACUUGGCAAUAUUUUUGCAUAUCCAAGGUUUAGAAGGAUAGAAGGGUCUCUAGGAACAGAUGGGAUGAUCAACAGAUCAAAUAAAAUGAUAGCCCCUUCAAAAUCACAAAGGGCAUAUUCAAAUCCCAAAAAAUUGGAAUUAGGGUUUGAGAGGGUUUGAGCUGAUGCAACUAAGGUCUUGCCCACUGAAAAAGACAUGAGCAAGUUUUGAAUGGUUGGAAAUGACAAGAAUUCUUAGGGUCAUCAGCAUAACUCAGGAGAAAGAUUUUGAAAAAUGAGUGAGGGGAAGGAAUAACAUCACAAAAAUUGAUAACCCAAUUUUGGGGCUGUUACAAACCUUCCCCCCUUAAAAGAAUCUUGUCCUCGAGAUUCCUAGGUUUACAGCACAAAGAAAACAUAACCACUCCGGAGAAAAACCUCUGUGUUAAAUUUAACCCUUUGGUCAAAUUCGAACGAGUUGGGGCACCGAUAAUUGGUACACCCAGGAAGAGAUAGGGGAAAACAUGGUUAUAUCCACGGCUAGGGGCACUCGAGAUCAAACUCUCGAAAAAUGCUAGAUGCACCCAAUGAACAGUGGACUCACCUGCUGACACGUUGGUCCAGGGCCCACUGGCAGCCUCCUUCUUCUACCUCCGGCUAACUGCUUCUCCCAUGCUGCUGCAUCGCGUGCGGCUUGGCACAACACGCAUCUAGCUCCUAGGGCGAUGAGGACCCUAGUGCCGUAGUGCGCGGUGUGCACGGCGUCAGUGCAGCGAGCACUCACGUCGUGGGCCAGCACCUUGUCGGCACUGCUCGCGGAUUCGCCUCCUGGACGCCGGUGAUCGGGCGAUGAGCGAGUUUCCUGGACUCCGCUCACCAUACACCGGGGUUGGGCUAUAAAAACGGCAGCACGGCCUGCUACAAACACACAAACACAAUGCCACUCUACAACCUCUUCGGUUUGGGUGAGAUCGAGCUGAGCUCCUUCGGCGAGGAGGUGUUCUUGGUGGCGUUACGGUUGUUCCUCACGGCACUGCUGGGCACGCUGAUCGGCUUGUCGAUCCUCCUGGUGAUUCUCAUCAGGAACGAGCGAGCUUGAGACAUCUCGCGGCUGGUGGCUCAAGGUGUGGAAGAAGAUGGUGCACAGGGUGGUCCUCCGCCACGCUUGAUCCUCCGUCGCUUUGCGCCGGCGGAGUAAUCGCGUGUUGCAGUGGAGCGGUGGUGGCGACUUGCAGAGCCACGCAAGGCAGUGAUGGUGUGGAUGAUGGGUCCGGAUGCAGGUGAGGUGGCUACGCCAGCUCAGGAAUCAAUUUAGGGCACGGGAAAAAUUUCACGGAUUGCUCCACGAAAUGCAGGUGUCGAGGUAGAAUCGGAGUUAAAAAUCUGUAUCGGUGAGUUGUAAUGGAUCGCGAGAAAUAAAACUGGCAGUGUUUCUCCGGAAACACAAUUGGGUUCAUGAAAAAGAAUCAGGGACGAGAAAUGGCCAGAUGACAAUGGCCUCUACGAGUUUCUGGGUUUGGAAAAUCUGGCACACGGGUUAUGCACGGAUAGAGAGGGAUAUGUGACUUUGCAUUCCCCCGAGUACUGCUCAAUUGUACUCGUGGGUGAACCGGGUAUGCGUGGAGUAUGCAGUAAAAUCUAAACAAACAGACAGAUGCAAUAAACAUGCAACAGAAAAACACACCAGAAAAAUCACACUAAGGUGUUUUAAUGCUAGUGGGGAUAUGAACUCCUAGUAUACAUAUACCUACACCAACGCGCAUUUUAUUAGAGACUCGGAAUGAGUCCAUGUUGUUUUUAGUGUAUGUGUCGUACUAAUUAAAAUCUUGUUAGCACAAAUCCCAACCCUGUCAAACAUUUCUGUUUGAUAGAGAGACAAGAAAAACAAACGCACAAACAAAAGUAAGCAAGCAAAUAGCACAGCAGACGGGUUACAACAGUACCAACAUACAACAAGGCACCAACGCACUACGCGCUAACCAAAACUACUCACUCCGGGAUACAUGGUUCCAUCCUCAUAUAGGGCACGAACCGAUAGACCGAUCGACUAGCAGGAACCACUGACUGCGUGACUGACGUCAGGCAGAAGACUGGCCUUGCUGGGGCUCUCCUGGAGGACGAAGACUAAGCCAAUCUCCAUCUUCAUCGUCUGACACUUCUAUGAGUUGGGGUGGUGGGGCUGAAAUUGCUCCAGGAAAAUGCUGCUGAUGGAUCCGGAGAAGAGACUUGUAGAGGGUGAUGAUGUUUGGCUUGGGCCAUAGCACAUGUUGAGAGGAUAGCACUGGUUCGGAUGGCGUUGGGCCAACAACUUGAGAUGCGAACUUAUGAGCCUCAUGGUAUGCUUCCUUGACAACUCGUACCACAUUAUUGUCCAUGGCUCUAAACUCGGCAAGCAGCAAUGAAAUCAACAUCCCCUGGGUAGUGAUGUAUUGCACCAGGCAAGCUAUUGCAGGAUCAUCUCCUUGGCUAACGGAAGAAGGCUACAUUACUGCGUUUGACACAGUGGGGAAAAAUCAGAACUCCCUCCUUGUUGCUACAUGCAGGAAGUUGGUUCGGAGGUGAAGGAUAGCCUCCACAUCAGCGGCUUGAAUGGCUAAACCAGAGGUAGGCAUGGCUCUACCCUGUAAAACCAAAGGCUGGACAUCUACUGCAGGACCUAGGCUGAUGUGCACUCUUGCAACAAAGUGAUGAAGGUGAGGGACGGGUGUCGAUUGGAACACCAGGUAAUCUGGGCUAGUCUUACCGCCAAAUGCUUUGGUGAGCAUCUCGGCAAGAAUGGGUGGAAAGCCAGGGUGGUUGACGGCAUAGGUGCGGGUGUAAUAUGUGGGAGUUUUGGAGCUGCUAGCCAUGACUGGGGUGCUACUAGCUAAGCUUCGCUGCAGGGACAUGGCAGACUGAGGAGCGAGCGAUACGGCUAGCGGAAAGGACAUUUAUAGGUAGCUACGCGGGACAGGACCGCAUGGCGUGGCCCCUUUCCCUUAAUGGCGAAGGGAAAGCGGUGCGGCCGACCAGAAAGGAUAUGAUCGAUGCACGCUCCACGGAUAACUAGGCAGGGACAGCGGGGUGAGGACGUGUCGGUCCCGACUGCGCCACCUGUUGAUUAACAGUGGCCAUGCCGGAUGCCAGGGAUGGGUCAAAUCCCUUAGGGUUAUUUUGGGUUGAUGGUGGCGGUGAUCUAAUGCUAGGAUAAUCUAUGCCAGCCUGGCUGCUCUGAUACCAAGCCUUGAUGCACCCCGAUCCGCAUGGAGCAGGGGGCCUUUGCACGUCAGCCGAGGAUAACACCUGACGCAUGACAGGUCCAUGAUGCAGCAUUCUAGGUACAAGAAUAUUCAUCAAAUACAUGUGUAUAUAAUUACAUCAGUGAUGAAUAUAAUCUCCUGGCAUAACCCUAAGGCUAUUUACACGGCAGCAGAAGUCUAUUUAAAUGGCGGCGGAAGUCUUGUCAGCAUAUCACUCUGGCUGGGCUCCACAACUCACAUGACUGGCAAGAUUAUGGCCUAGCACAAUGGAACAAGUGAACGACCCACAAAACUGGCAUGACAUGCUAGGUCAGUACAUUGAAUGUACUUGCAAGACAACCAAAUACAUAGCAUCCAAACAAGCAGAAGACAAAGCAGGAACCAAGUGUCUGCAACAAUCUAGCUCAUAUCAGAAACUAAGCAUGGCAUAACAUCAACCGAAGACAUAAAUCAAACUACCAUCAUGGCAUCCACUAGCACGACAACAACAUGGCAUAGCAAAUUUACUUGUAACAUGGCAACAACAAAACAUAGCAUAUCAUCUCAAUCAUAUCAAUCAAAGCAUGGCAUGGCAUCAUGAAACUAUGCUCAAAAUAAACUACCAAUCAUAUCAAAUGCCAACACAGCAUGUUAACUCUAUGCAACAAUAUCAUAUUCUACCAUGGUUCUUUAAAUGCAAACAUGUUACUCAUGCAAUGCCACCAAACAUGUGCACUGAGUCCCUCGGACUCUCUUACCAACGGUGAUCACCUCAUUUCCUGAUCACAAACAGAGACAAACUCGUGAUCCUUACGGCGAUCACAACCCGACCAAUAACUGGCCCGUGAUACUUACGGCAAUCACAACCUGACCACAUCUGCCCCGUGAUCCUUACGGCGAUCACAACCCGACCACAUCUGGCCGAUGAUCCUUACGGCGAUCACAACCCAACCACAUCUGGCAAGUGAUCCUUACGGCGAUCACAACCACAUUAAUCAGCUUAAUUAUUUCAGGUUUAUCCUCCAUUUUGACCAAGACUCGAUAGUGUACCCUACUACGAACUUAUGCCCAUGACCGAGGACGCAGCUAUUGAUAGUUUAAAUACACUCUGCAGAGGUAGCGCAUGGUACCCACACCACGGAACCCAUGGCCUCGUCAUCCCAUUCGGGUGGACCAACAACAUUCCGACGAAACUGAUCUACUGUCAUGACACUCUCCCGGCCACUUCAACUCACUCCCCUCUGGGCUAAGUCAUGGGUGGCCCCGUGUCUACCUCAAGACACAACGACCACUGUCGUGUCCAUGAUCCACAUUGGGACCCGGUACCAAAACUCAACUUAACAACGGGCUCACAAGGCUUAUCUCUACCUACCUGAUCAGGGUAGCGUGCGCCCAUAACCUUCCCUCGUUGGAGGCACCGGCGAAAGGCACGACAAUAGACCGCAUUAGGGCCGUUCCAUACCGGCAAAUGUGGUUGCACUGGAAAAAUUUUGAUUUGGCGGCACUAUGACUCGAUCCCAUCGAUGACGGAGGAUGUUUGUUAUUAUUAAGUCAUUUUAAUUCCUUCCCCAUCAUCAUGAACAUGAAUGCAACAAUGAGCAUACAUCAUACAAAUGCUUUAACAAAACAUCGAGCUUCUCAAGUGAACACUUACAGCAUAAAGGACAUGAUAAUACCAAGUACUAACAUAUCCACGGUGCAUUACCAUCAUCAUAGCAUUUUAUAACGAUGACAUGAAAAUAAAUUAGAGUAUUGACAUGGCAUCAUCAGUAACAACAUUCUAAUUAUCAUGGCAAGAAGUAGCAUGAAAACACAAGCAUGCAUGCCAGUCAUAACGUAAUAACUGUAGAUGAAAACGAGAAGAAAUAGCUGCAACUACACACACACAAGGUGCAAGCAAAGUCAACAUGCAAGUUCGGGGCUCAUGAUAAGAGGUUGGCUUGCUUGGGGGUCGACAAAUACUCCAGGAAGAAGUGAGAAACAACCGCGGAAAAAUUUGCCGGAAACAGUUCUCUCUCGGAGGGGGCUCAAUCGGAGUUACGGUUGUCGAGAUACGAA
rnacentral:lncRNA from 1 species